AACCUUUACAAUGCACGAAAGUGUGAUAAGGGAACUCAAAGUGCUUAGCUAUGCUAGGCUUCUGCCGAGAGUAAAUAUCUCGGAGAAUAAGUGGUGGGCAAGACUGGUGCCAGCCGCCGCGGUAACACCAGCUCCACAAGUGGCAAUCGUAUUUAUUUGGCCUAAAGCGUCCGUAGCUGGUUAAGUAAAUCUCUUGUGAAAUCG
rnacentral:rRNA from 1 species